UCCUGGCUCAGAACGAACGCUGGCGGCAUGGAUUAGGCAUGCAAGUUGAACGAACUCCUUCGGGAGUGAGUAGCGGAAGGGUGAGGAACGCGUGAGUAAUCUGCCCCCAGUUGGGAAUAACAGUUGGAAACGACUGCUAAUACCGAAUGUGGCUUAAGCUUCGCCUGGAGCUUUGGCUAAAGAUUUAUCGCUGGGGGAUGAGCUCGCGUCCCAUUAGGUAGUUGGUGAGGUAACGGCUCACCAAGCCGACGAUGGGUAGCUGGUCUGAGAGGAUGGUCAGCCACACUGGGACUGAGACACUGCCCAGACUCCUACGGGAGGCUGCAGUCGAGAAUCUUGGGCAAUGCGCGAAAGCGUGAACCCCAGCAAUGCCGCGUGUAUGAUGAAGGCCCUCGGGUCGUAAAGUACUGUCUCCCGUGACGAAAUUUGACGGUAGCGGGGAAGGAAGCCACGGCUAACUACGUGCCAGCCGCAGC
rnacentral:rRNA from 1 species